rnacentral:rRNA from 1 species
GUGGGGAAUAUUCCGCAAUGGACGAAAGUCUGACGGAGCAACGCCGCGUGAGUGAUGAAGGUUUUCGGACUGUAAAGCUCUGUUGUUUAGGACGAAAGUGCCUGUUGCGAACAGUUACAGGUAUUGACGGUACUAAACGAGGAAGCCACGGCUAACUACGUGCCAGCAGCCGCGGUAAUACGUAGGUGGCAAGCGUUGUCCGGAAUUAUUGGGCGUAAAGAGCAUGUAGGCGGAGAUUUAAGUCUGUUGUGAAAAUGCGGGGCUCAACCCCGUAUUGCGAUGGAAACUGAAUUUCUUGAGUGCAGGAGAGUAAAGGGGAAUUCCCAGUGUAGCGGUGAAAUGCGUAGAUAUUGGGAGGAACACCAGUGGCGAAGGCGCCUUUCUGGACUGUGUCUGACGCUGAGAUGCGAAAGCCAGGGUAGCGAACGGGAUUAGAAACCCCAGUAGUCC